rnacentral:tmRNA from 1 species
GGGGGUGCCAGCUUCGACAUGAGAAAUGUGUUGUUCGUGGUAAGCAGAGUUCCCGCUACUCUCUAAACUUGCGGGAAAAUUUAAGUGCAGACUCCAUAGUCGCACGGGCAAAGUCAAUUGUUUCUCCGUAUUUUACGGCGAACGACUUUGUUUUCGCCUACGUUCGAGCGUAAGCUCGCUUAAGCGAACGUUCGCUACCCUGCCGUCCGGCACACGGUAGUGGAACGCUUUAUUUGCGGGACUGUAAUUCUAGUGUUGCUCACACUAGAGCCAAACUUAGAGCUUUGAACUUCUUGUGUUUUGUCUGAUUUUUAGCAAGGAGUUCGAGAACCAAAAUCAGUCUAAGCUUGCUAGAUUCGUUCUUCGCAUUCUUAUGCACAGGAGUUCAAUCUCCUCACCUCCACUC